CGCUCAUUACACUUUUCGCGGGCUCAUUUACUUCACUUAUAAUGAACGUGGCCAUGGAAAUGCUAGUGGAGAAAGUGGUCAAUUUUCUGACGGAUGUGAUAAAAAAAUGGUUUGCUGACCAAUCAACGACAUAUGUCUCAAAACUAGUAAGGAGACUCUUAAUCGCUGGGUUGAAGUCUCUAAUCAAGAAGAUGCUCAACUAUGUAUUCAACAAAGCAGUUUCCUUGCUUCUGAGAUGCUUCCAAACAACAUCUUAUAUUUCCUGAAGAUGAUAAUGCCUGGACAAGCAGCACAAGUCAUUCAGGAGGAAGAGGGUAAUCCGGAAGAGUUUCCCGACCUACUCUGCUGCUGUGAUUAAACAACCACCAGGAAAUUUGGAUGACACUGUUCUCCUGAGCUCCUCCCUUUCCUUGGGGAAGAAAAGCAUUGAAACUACAAAAAUAAAGUGUUAUUUGGCUGGA